UGGGAAGAGGGCAGGAAAGGGGGAUUUGGCACAGGCCUCUGCUGCCUGGUCUCAAUUUAGUUGUGAGGAGCCUCCUAAUAGCCGGGUGAGAGCUGUGCACGCUUUCCUGAGAGCCUGCUAAGUGUUUAUGGAAUGAUUUGUGAGGAGAAGUUUCUUUGGAAGCAGCUUGGGGAAGCCAAGCAUCCCGCCCAGAGCAGGGUCAUUCUAGCCAGACCAGGACACAGUGAGGACACUGGGCCAGCCCUGGAAGUUCAGUGAACUCUGAAUCAAUCUACGAAUCGUCCUGUCAGCAGAAAUUUGCCCAACCUGGUUGCCGCAGAACAGCCUGUAUACCAUCAGGUGAGAGCAGCUGGCUACAUAGGUCUGCCAGGAAGGAGCCAGUGACUGGCCAAUUCUGAUUCUCUGAGACCCCUACCAGGACAUGUGGACCCACCAUGAAUCUUUGUCCCAACCUACUGGCACAACAGCCUUGGGAUAUUAGAGUUUUUUAAUCUCUGAUUUUAUAGCUGAGAAAACCAAAGCCCAGAGAUUAAAGCCACACAGCUGAGGUCACACCAUGAGUACCUGCCCAGGUAAGGAUCAAACUCAGGUGCUCAAGACCAAAGCUGGUAGUCUUACCUGUAAGGUACAUGGCCGAACACACCCCACUCUGUCAUCUCACUUGGCCCAUUGCAUUGUCAUUGUCUAUGAUGUCUACCUAUACGUUUGACUCCCCACUUACCUGACAGCUCCCUGAGAAUAGGAGUCAGGUUGGCUUCAUCCUUGGUCCUUAAGUCCCUGUACAGUACAGGGCCUGGCACAGAGGAGAUGGGUGGAUGAUGGAUAGAUGGGUGGAUGGAUGGGUGAUGGGUAGAUGGAUAGAUGAAUGGAUGGAUGGAGGAUGGAUGGAUGGAUGGGUGGAUGGAUGGGUGAUGGAUGGAUGGGUGGAUGGAUGGAUGAUGGAUGGAUGGAU
rnacentral:lncRNA from 10 species